rnacentral:rRNA from 1 species
UACGUAGGGAGCAAGCGUUGUCCGGAAUCAUUGGGCGUAAAGCGCGCGUAGGCGGCCCUGUAAGUCCGUUGUGAAAGUCAAAGGCUCAACCUUUGAAAGCCGAUGGAUACUGCAGGGCUAGAGUCCGGAAGAGGCGAGUGGAAUUCCUGGUGUAGCGGUGGAAUGCGCAGAUAUCAGGAGGAACACCGAUAGCGAAGGCAGCUCGCUGGGACGGUACUGACGCUGAGGUGCGAAAGCGUGGGGAGCGAACAGG